UACCAGCACCCCGAGUGGUCGGGACGAUUAUUGGGCCUAAAGCAUCCGUAGCCGGUUCUGCAAGUCCUCCGUUAAAUCCAGCUGCUUAACAGAUGGGCUGCGGAGGAUACUAUAAGACUAGGAGGCAGGAGAGGCAAGCGGUACUCAGUGGGUAGGGGUAAAAUCCGUUGAUCCAUUGAAGACCACCAGUGGCGAAGGCGGCUUGCCAGAAUGCGCUCGACGGUGAGGGAUGAAAGCUGGGGGAGCAACCGGG
rnacentral:rRNA from 1 species